UACGUAGGGUGCAAGCGUUGUCCGGAAUUAUUGGGCGUAAAGAGCUCGUAGGCGGUUUGUUGCGUCGGCUGUGAAAUCCCGAGGCUCAACCUCGGGUCUGCAGUCGAUACGAGCAAAACUAGAGUGUUUGCAGGGGGAGACUGGAAUUCCUGGUGUAGCGGUGAAAUGCGCAGAUAUCAGGAGGAACACCGGUGGCGAAGGCGGGUCUCUGGGCAACAACUGA
rnacentral:rRNA from 1 species